rnacentral:rRNA from 1 species
GUUGGCUGCAAUAGCGGAGAGUGAACACCCGAUCCCAUCCCGAACUCGGCAGUGAAAGGCUCCAGCGCUGAUGGUAGUGCGCUUUAGGCGCGUGAGAGUAAGACGUCGCCAACU